UCGCCUGUUUAACAAAAACAUGUCCUAUUGUUUAAUAUUAAUUUUAGGUCUAACCUGCCCAGUGAAAUAAUUUGAAUGGCCGCAGUAUACUAACUGUGCGAAGGUAGCAUAAUCAUUUGUCUUUUAAUUGAAGGCUUGUAUGAAUGGUUGGACGAAGGAUUAACUUUCUUUAUUUAAUUUUAAUUAAUUUGAUUUUUUAGUUAAAAAGCUUAAAUGUAUUUGCAAGACGAGAAGACCCUGUAGAAUUUUAUAAUUAUGGUAUUUUUUAUUUUAUUUGUAAUUUUAAUUAUAAAUAAUAUUUUAAUUAUUUUGUUGGGGCGACAAUGGAAAUAGUUUAACUUCCAUUAAUAUAAAUCAUUUAUUUAUGUUUAUUUUGAUCUUUUAUUAAAGAUUAAAAGAUUAAAUUACCUUAGGGAUAACAGCGUAAUUUUUUCGGAGAGUUCUUAUCGAUGAAAUAAGUUUGCGACCUCGAUGUUGGAUUAAAGUUAGUUUUUGGUGUAGAAGCUAAAUUAGUAAGUCUG
rnacentral:rRNA from 1 species